rnacentral:rRNA from 1 species
AGUGAACGCUGGCGGUAGGCCUAACACAUGCAAGUCGAACGGCAGCACAGUAAGAGCUUGCUCUUACGGGUGGCGAGUGGCGGACGGGUGAGGAAUACAUCGGAAUCUACUUUUUCGUGGGGGAUAACGUAGGGAAACUUACGCUAAUACCGCAUACGACCUACGGGUGAAAGCAGGGGAUCUUCGGACCUUGCGCGAUUGAAUGAGCCGAUGUCGGAUUAGCUAGUUGGCGGGGUAAAGGCCCACCAAGGCGACGAUCCGUAGCCGGUCUGAGAGGAGGAUCAGCCACACUGGAACUGAGACACGGUCCAGACUCCUACGGGAGGCAGCAGUGGGGAAUAUUGGACAAUGGGCGCAAGCCUGAUCCAGCCAUACCGCGUGGGUGAAGAAGGCCUUCGGGUUGUAAAGCCCUUUUGUUGGGAAAGAAAAGCAGCAGGUUAAUACCCCGCUGUUCUGACGGUACCCAAAGAAUAAGCACCGGCUAACUUCGUG